GCCAUCAACAGAGAGAAGCAAUACCGCGAGGUGGAGCAAAACUUCAAAAAUGGUCUCAGUUCGGACUGUAGGCUGCAACUCGCCUACACGAAGUUGGAAUUGCUAGUAAUCGCGCAUCAGCCAUGGCGCGGUGAAUACGUUCCCGGGCCUUGUACACACCGCCCGUCAAGCCAUGGGAGCCGGGGGCGCCUGAAGUCCGGGACCGCGAGGACCGGCCUAGGGCGAAACUGGUAACUGGGGCUAAGUCGUAACAAGGUAUC
rnacentral:rRNA from 1 species